rnacentral:rRNA from 1 species
UACAGGCUUAACACAUGCAAGUCGAGGGGCAGCAUGGUCUUAGCUUGCUAAGGCCGAUGGCGACCGGCGCACGGGUGAGUAACACGUAUCCAACCUGCCGUCUACUCUUGGACAGCCUUCUGAAAGGAAGAUUAAUACAAGAUGGCAUCAUGAGUCCGCAUGUUCACAUGAUUAAAGGUAUUCCGGUAGACGAUGGGGAUGCGUUCCAUUAGAUAGUAGGCGGGGUAACGGCCCACCUAGUCUUCGAUGGAUAGGGGUUCUGAGAGGAAGGUCCCCCACAUUGGAACUGAGACACGGUCCAAACUCCUACGGGAGGCAGCAGUGAGGAAUAUUGGUCAAUGGGCGAGAGCCUGAACCAGCCAAGUAGCGUGAAGGACGACUGCCCUAUGGGUUGUAAACUUCUUUUAUAAAGGAAUAAAGUCGGGUAUGGAUACCCGUUUGCAUGUACUUUAUGAAUAAGGAUCGGCUAACUCCGUGCCAGCAGCCGCGGUAAUACGGAGGAUCCGAGCGUUAUCCGGAUUUAUUGGGUUUAAAGGGAGCGUAGAUGGAUGUUUAAGUCAGUUGUGAAAGUUUGCGGCUCAACCGUAAAAUUGCAGUUGAUACUGGAUAUCUUGAGUGCAGUUGAGGCAGGCGGAAUUCGUGGUGUAGCGGUGAAAUGCUUAGAUAUCACGAAGAACUCCGAUUGCGAAGGCAGCCUGCUAAGCUGCAACUGACAUUGAGGCUCGAAAGUGUGGGUAUCAAACAGGAUUAGAUACCCUGGUAGUCCACACGGUAAACGAUGAAUACUCGCUGUUUGCGAUAUACUGCAAGCGGCCAAGCGAAAGCGUUAAGUAUUCCACCUGGGGAGUACGCCGGCAACGGUGAAACUCAAAGGAAUUGACGGGGGCCCGCACAAGCGGAGGAACAUGUGGUUUAGUUCGAUGAUACGCGAGGAACCUUACCCGGGCUUAAAUUGCAGAUGAAUUACGGUGAAAGCCGUAAGCCGCAAGGCAUCUGUGAAGGUGCUGCAUGGUUGUCGUCAGCUCGUGCCGUGAGGUGUCGGCUUAAGUGCCAUAACGAGCGCAACCCUUGUUGUCAGUUACUAACAGGUUCCGCUGAGGACUCUGACAAGACUGCCAUCGUAAGAUGUGAGGAAGGUGGGGAUGACGUCAAAUCAGCACGGCCCUUACGUCCGGGGCUACACACGUGUUACAAUGGGGGGUACAGAGGGCCGCUACCACGCGAGUGGAUGCCAAUCCCCAAAACCUCUCUCAGUUCGGACUGGAGUCUGCAACCCGGCUCCACGAAGCUGGAUUCGCUAGUAAUCGCGCAUCAGCCACGGCGCGGUGAAUACGUUCCCGGGCCUUGUACACACCGCCCGUCAAGCCAUGGGAGCCGGGGGUACCUGAAGUGCGUAACCGCGAGGAGCGCCCUAGGGUAAAACUGGUGACUGGGGCUAAGUCAUAA